rnacentral:rRNA from 1 species
GACGAACGCUGGCGGCGUGCCUAAUACAUGCAAGUAGAACGCACAGUUUAUACCGUAGCUUGCUACACCAUAGACUGUGAGUUGCGAACGGGUGAGUAACGCGUAGGUAACCUGCCUGGUAGCGGGGGAUAACUAUUGGAAACGAUAGCUAAUACCGCAUAAUAUUGAUUAUUGCAUGAUAAUUGAUUGAAAGAUGCUAUUGCAUCACUACCAGAUGGACCUGCGUUGUAUUAGCUAGUAGGUGAGGUAACGGCUCACCUAGGCGGAGAUACAUAGCCGACCUGGGAGGGUGAUCGGCCACACUGGGACUGGGACACGGCCCAGACUCCUACGGGAGGCAGCAGUAGGGAAUCGUCGGCAAUGGACGAAAGUCUGACCGAGCAACGCCGCGUGAGUGAAGAAGGGUUUCGGAUCGUAAAGCUCUGUUGUAAGAGAAGAACGGGUGUGAGAGUGGAAAGUUCACACUGUGACGGUAUCUUACCAGAAAGGGACGGCUAACCACGUG